CAAUAACAAGAGUUGCUAUUAUUGAGCGAAGUCUCCAUUUCCAGAUAUUCAUGUAUCUAGGAAAUAAAAAUUGAAAAACUGCUAAAGAAACAUUUGAAAAAAUGCUCCUUAAAGAUUGAUGUCUCAAUUAAAGAUAAAAAUACAUCAAGCCCUCACUCGCAAGGACAGCACUAGAACGCUAAAUGAGGGGGUGUAUAUCCAUAUGUUCACUUGUGGGCGAGUGAUUUCUUUUGAAAGUGAUUUGGUUUUCUAAAGAAGUCACUGGGGCAAACUAAAUAUAUGAAUAUUCACCCCCUCCCCAAUUAGAGUUCUAGCGCCGUCCCUGCUCACUUGGGCUAUUUAUUGAAGAGCAAUCAAGAGAAGAUGCACGUUCAUCUAUUUCAUUUGUGCUUACAUAAAGUUUAGUCCAACUGCAGCAACAACGUUUAGAAGAGUGCGGAAGGAUACGCCCCAAUUUGAACUCUGGUUUUGAACUGUGUUGAAGAAGAAAACUUCAGCCUCGGGCCAACAAAAUCUUCCCCAAAAGUAGGAGUCAAUGGAAACAGUUAAACCUGACAUUGUUGUAAAUUAAGAAAUCAUAUAAAAAAUUGUUAAUUGGUGAAAUGAUUUUGCAAUGCAAAAGACAUACCAAGUGCCGCUAUGCCACUCAAGACAAUAUGGACAAAUGACCUAGCUAACGAAAUUCUUUGUUCAUAUAAUUCCAACAGCAUUAUCAAACCCAUUACUAUGGCCAGCUCAGCACGAAACAGUAUAAUUCCAAAACCAGAUAACCAUAUGAAAAAUGGAUGAUUUCCAGUAAACCAACAAUAAAAGGCACAAAGUGCUGUAAAAAAUAGGAAGAAACAUUUUUAAAACUUAUAAAUAUUAGAAAUAAAUUUUACAAAGAUUGUUGAUAUGUUGCUUGAUCUUACCAAAAUUUAAAGCAAAUGUGUUUGGUAAAGUUCGGGACAUGUAAAACACCAAAUGAAACUGACUUAUGGUCAAAAUUGCAAGAAAGUUGGAAGUAGUAGAGCCAAACUUUCUACCAACACCUCUUCGAAAAAGGGAAAAUGAUGCAGAUGAACAAACACCAAGAACAGACCGGACUGCAAUAACCAAAAGAAAAUAGGAUUAUUAUAAAAUUGAAAACUCUUCCUGCUGUAAGAAAAUUGACAUGGAUCGCAAGUAAUAUUCCCUGCAAUGGAUUUUGAAUGAAUAAAUAACUUGAGCCAAUGUACAAAGGGAGAAAAAAACACAAAUACAUACCUAUAAUUUGGGAAUACAUUUUUGAUGCAUUGACUACUUUUAAUAUGUUUAUAAAAGGAUAGCUGAGGAUAGCUAGGGAUAAUGGACCAAUAAAAGUCCUUGGUACAACUCCUGGAAA